rnacentral:rRNA from 1 species
AUGGUUCCUCCUGGUGCUUCUGCGUCUGGCCGCCGCCGUCGGGGCCGCCACCAAGGGCCCGUACCGGGCAGGAGCUGCGUCGAGUCUGAUGCCGCCGCUGCUCUGGGGAGCGAGAUCCUGCAUCGCCGUCGCCACCCUACCAGGCUUACUCUGGUCUGCCUCUCGUCGUUCGAGCAAAAGUGGUGCCAGGGCCGUCGUCGGGUAUCUAAGGCGAAGGAGCAGCAGGCACCACCACGGAUGAGCCGGCUGCGCGGUUCUAGAUGCUCCAUCGAGAAAAGCCGUCGCCGGGGAGCUGCUUCGCCUGCCGUCUCACGCCCUGGCCCUGGCAUCCUGCACGAUGGCGGGUCGACCACGACGCUAUACAGCAUCGCUUGCUGGGGCGUGCCACCGCCGCAUGGGCCUCCGCGCGAGCCGCCCGUACCCCACGCGCCCCCGCUCCUCCCACACCCGCGCGCUACCUACGGCCCGAGGGAACAAGCGCCGCCCACGCGCCGGUGGCCGUGCCAACGGGCUUCUAGCCUCGCACGCUGCCUGCCGGUUCAUCUCCUUUCCUUACCUUGA